rnacentral:rRNA from 1 species
CCUACGGGAGGCAGCAGUGAGGAAUAUUGGUCAAUGGCCGAGAGUCUGAACCAGCCAAGUCGCGUGAAGGAUGACUGCCCUACGGGUUGUAAACCUCUUUUAUAUGGGAAUAAAAUGUUCCACGCGUGCGACCUUGUAUGUACCAUAUGAAUAAGGAUCGGCUAACUCCGUGCCAGCAGCCGCGGUAAUACGGAGGAUCCGAGCGUUAUCCGGAUUUAUUGGGGUUAAAGGGAGCGCAGGGGGAUUGUUAAGUCAGGUGGUAAAGUUGUCGGCCUAACCGUAAAAUUGCAGUUGAAACUGGGAGUGGUGAGUAGAGGAGAGGUUGGCGGAAUGCGUGGUGUAGCGGUGAAAUGCAUAGAUAUCACGCAGAACUCCGAUUGCGAAGGCAGUUUACCGGACUGCAACUGACGCUGAGGCACGAAAGUGUGGGUAUCGAACAGGAUUAGAUACCCGGGUAGUC